CAGCCCGAGCCAGACGCCCAGACGACCAGACCUAGCCACGCGACGUGAGUUCCAGACCUCCAGGGAGCCGAGGCAGCCGCCGCCGCCGGCCGGUGACUCCCCUCCAGUCCCCUGCUCGGCUGCUCCCCUCCCCUGACUUCGGCGCUCCCAUCCAGUCCCCUGCAGGCUGCAGCCCUGCUCGCCUGCUCGGCUGCGCUCCUCGCCUGGCUCGCCUGCUCUGCUUCUCCAGCCGGGCGCGGGGCGCCGCCGCGCCGGCUCUGCUCCUGCCCUGCUCCACCCUCCAGUCCUGCCGGCCUCUCCCGCCUCCCGGUCUCCCCUGGGCAACUGCUGCCCCGACUGCAGCCGAGAAUUAAAAGAUGAAGAUAUUUUAUUCAUCGGUGGCCGCAAUGGAAGUGUCUAAAUUUUUGGUGCAAUUGAGCCAUAUUUGAGAUAUUCUUUUGAGGUAGCUAUAGCCUGAUGGACGUUAAGUUUUUCUCUCGCGACGAAUUUUUUUUUUUGGGCCCGGGGCUUGCUCCAAUCCUGGCUCCGCCACUGGUCCCAGCUAUGUCCGACCUUUCUCAUUCCCUUCACUCUCAUCAGCUCCUCCUCUCGGUUUGAUUAGCCUCCCCAUCUGUCCACACUGCCAGUCCCUGGUUUCUACAGGUUUGUGAGACUUCAAGGUUUACAAGCUAGUGUGGCUUUAGUUGAGUGAGUGGAGACAGGUCAGGAAUCACCUCCCUAUUCAGCUAGGCUACACCAUCUUGAGAUUCAACCUGAACCAUGUUCCUUGAAAAGACAAGAGUAAACGGGAAAACUUACUUUGGGUUCAUAUGAUGCAGACCAAGAAUAAACGGUGCAGAUUUGGCUAGCAGCAAAAGAUGAAUGAAUAUAGUGAUGGAAAGCCAAAUUUAAAGUGGUAAUUUCCUUUCACUUCUUAUCCAGUCAUUUGCUAUAAUAAUUGAUAAGUGUUCCUUUUAGUGUUUUGAACUAAUUAUGGUUCCAGAAAUAGGUCGUAUGUAUGUUGCAAAUGAAAUGGUACAGAGCUUCAUCUAAUUUAUUGGUGUGAAUUGUUCUCAUCAUGUACCUGCCCUUUUAGUUAGCGGGAAACAUUGUGAUGCUCAGAUCUUAUGUGCCUAUUUUGAGAGCAGAAAAAUACAGAAAAUCAGCAUCUGAAGCUAAAUAAAAUGCACACACUAUCCUCUUCUUCUGUGUAAUGGUGAGCUACACUUUGAUCUUGUCUCCACUGCUCUCAGUUGGGUUCUACCACACAUUACUAAAACUUUUUUUUGAACCGUAAAUGACCGCAGGAGACUUUUCCUACAGUCUUUGUAUUAAAAGAGUUAGUAAAGUCUUGUCAACCGAGUUACAUUGGGGGGGAGGGGGGCUGAGUACUUACAUUGUGUGGAGGGGUGCGGCAGGGUUAAAUGAGUGUGAUCCUAGAUAGAGGGCCACCCAUUACUAAAGCUUACACAUCAUUUUCAUUUAGAUUUGGUUAUUAUUGGCAUUAGAUUGUGCACACUGAAUGUGAGAACAGGGUCAGGUACUACCACGACGUACAUUCUACUGUGUCCAGUCCUCAAUGCUUAAUGUCCAUCUCUUUGUAGCUUUGCAAAGUUUCAGUGUAUCAUUGUCGUUUUACUGAUGGUCAAUGCAUAUGGGGAACAAAGUGAGGCUCUAUAGGAAGAAGCUCACAAAUUUGAGGCGUCUCUACAAGGAAGCCACACAUCCGUUAUUACAUUUGCCACAUGAGCAAGACCUUUGUCACUCAAAGAAUCCUAUACAUAUCACCUGCAAUUAUAUAUACAAUUCUUCUUAGUGUUGUUACCUUUGAUUUUGCAGUAUUUGUCCUGAUUGAUACUGUAUGAUUAUGUGUUGUUUUGCAGGUACUGAUCUUGGUGUCGAUUCCUACCUGAGCCAUCAGACACAACUUCGGUUGGUCAUAGGUUUCUUGGCUCUUUAGGUAUGUGUGCUAGCACUUCAUUAAGGGUUUAGAUGACCAUGCACAGGGUACAUCUUCUCCUUUCUCCCCAUGUACUUAAUUAGCUUGUGCAAUGAAUGCUGAAUUUGGACAAUAGUGAUUUAUUUGUGCAGUCCAUGCUUAAAAAUUGAAAAACGAAAAGAUGACAUGAUGGGUUUCAACAGUGAUAGUGGUUGUUUAACUCUCCUUUGUUGAACUGCACUAUUUUGUCUACUAAAUUAUGGUCAAUAUUCGCUUCAACGCCGGUUGUAUUCACCUGAAUGCGGGUUAAAAUGAAGUAAAUAUUGUUCUGUAUUUCUGUGCUCCCGUUGUAUUCACUUCAACGCCGGUUGCAAUUUUCUACGAAAAUGACUUCUGAGACUUGUAUUAAAUGUUUUUAACAUCUGGUGGACCUUUUUGAUUUAGAGGAUUUGGGCCAGGGAUUCAAGAACUAAUGGUUUUCAUCCACACGUGUUUUAUUACGAUGCUAUCAAAAGCAGGGGUACAUUUCCUUAUGUUCACUUCCCUUUCUAUCUUAUGAAUAAAUUUGAAACAUUCUUCUGUUUUGCACUGUAGUUUAAUUUAGGAGUCAGGAUUGCCAACUCAUUAAGCAUCUAUGAAGUUACAAUCAAAUGUGUACAUAGUUAGAUAUCUUUGCCCAUUUUUUAACCUUGAAUGACAGUUGAGAGAAGCUCCCACUGCCUUAUAAAAUAAAAUCUUGCUUUACAUAAUUACAUUGGUUGGUUGUUGAGGGAACUCCCAACCAGAGGGGUAGUUGCAAAGGAAAACUAGAAAAGAAACUAGGGCCUAGGCGGGGGCAAGUGGAUAGGGUGACUCAGAGAGAGUCCACAAACGAGGUAAUGAAGGGUACUAGCCGUUGUGCAAAACUUGAUGGAUGGCCCAUAUAUUGCUUGUUUAACAGAUGAAAUUCAAGAAUUUAUGGCAUACAUAAUAUUUGAUUAUAAUGAUCUGUACAUAUACAUUAUGCAUAUGCUAACUGCAGUAGCGACAAAGAGUGGCUGGUGAGUGUGAAACAGAGCGCUUUGCACGCGCCAGCAUGAUCAUGUGCAUGCCAGAUCAAUUUUGAAGCCUGGCUGAUGAAUGGCUAGCUUAUAUGGUUCUGUUCUUGUAGGCUGAGGUUUUCUUUCUUGGGCAACUGAGGCAGAAGAACCUGGUAAAUUGGUUGAGCAGUGCUAUGAGGAUGAACACAGGAUGCUGGUGUACAAGUUCAUGAGCAUUGGGAGCCCUAAGACACACCUCUUCAAAAGUAUAAAUUGCUCCCUUCCGUGGAUGACAAGGAUAAAAAUCGACAAGGAUGAAGAUUGCUAUUGGCGCGGCUAAGGGACUUUCUUGAUGCUAUCUCGCCAGUGAUCUACAAGGCCUACAACGUCUUGCUCGACUCGCGCGGGCGGGCUAUAACGUCAGUCUGAGCCUCCACGAGCUCGAUGCCCUCGGGGAAAGUAGAGCACUCUACACGCUUGCCGAUGCAGUGGUCGUUUAGGUUGACUCGACGACUAGGUAGCAGCAGGAGCGGAUGUGAAAAAGCGGUGGUCAACUUGACCUGCUAAGUGUGCAUUUGCUUUUGAAGCACUUGUCUUCGUAAUCAGUCAAUUAGGCUACAAAACUGGACUGCUACUUCUCUGUUCAUAUAAGCUUAUCCAUAUGUAUGAUGCUCUCACCUAAUGUAUUUUGUGAAUGUGCACUGCCAGUAUUGCAUUUCUACUGCUGUA